UACGUAGGAGGCAAGCGUUGUCCGGAAUUACUGGGCGUAAAGCGCGUGUAGGUGGUGGGACAAGUCUGCUGUGAAAGCGCCUGGCUUAACCGGGCGAGGUCGGCGGAAACUGUCCGACUCGAGGACGGUAGAGGGGGGGUGGAAUUCCCGGUGUAGUGGUGAAAUGCGUAGAGAUCGGGAGGAACACCUGUGGCGAAAGCGGCUCACUGGACCAUAACUGACGCUGAUGCACGAAAGCUAGGGGAGCAAACAGG
rnacentral:rRNA from 1 species